rnacentral:snoRNA from 1 species
AUUUGAUGAUGUGGACAUUGUAUAUGUAACUCCCCAAAUCUUUCCCAAGCUUCGAAGAAUUCCUCCGUAUGCUUUUGUCUAAAAGUUUGGAUCUUGAUUCUUAACU